GAAAAAAAUGACGCAGCUGUCAAAAAAAUGUGUCUCUCAACCAGUCAAUAAAUAACACAAUGGGACUACCUACCUCAUCACAUAGUGACGGAAAGGGGCACUGAGCAAGCGUAAAUAUGUGAGGAGUUGGGAGAAAGAAUGUGUUAGAAAAUGACGAAGGGUGCUGGGAUUGGCACAAGGUCACUUGAGGGAUGGUCCAUCAAAAGCCACUGGAAAGAAGAACAGAGACAUACAUUCUCAACAAGCUGUCCUAGAAAAGUGCCAAAUCGUGCAGUUCUUUGAAUGGGAACUUGAGAAGAGGAGGUACUGCUGGCCCAACACCAGAGGGCGCCCUGCCUGAAAGCAGGCUUCAGGCAGCAGAGGGUGCAGCCACCUCCCUGGAACACCUACAGACAGCUGUCAGUCAUCACAUCAGCUGUCAUUCAUCACCCCUCAUCAGCCCACCAUAAAAGCCUGGCAGAGAU